rnacentral:rRNA from 1 species
CCUACGGGAGGCAGCAGUGAGGAAUACUGGACAAUGGGCGCAAGCCUGAUCCAGCCAUGCCGCGUGCAGGAAGACGGUCCUAUGGAUUGUAAACUGCUUUUGUACGGGAAGAAACACUCCUUCGUGAAGGAGCUUGACGGUACCGUAAGAAUAAGGAUCGGCUAACUCCGUGCCAGCAGCCGCGGUAAUACGGAGGAUCCAAGCGUUAUCCGGAAUCAUUGGGUUUAAAGGGUCCGUAGGCGGUUUAGUAAGUCAGUGGUGAAAGCCCAUCGCUCAACGGUGGAACGGCCAUUGAUACUGCUAGACUUGAAUUAUUAGGAAGUAACUAGAAUAUGUAGUGUAGCGGUGAAAUGCUUAGAGAUUACAUGGAAUACCAAUUGCGAAGGCAGGUUACUACUAAUGGAUUGACGCUGAUGGACGAAAGCGUGGGUAGCGAACAGGAUUAGAUACCCUGGUAGUCCACGCCGUAAACGAUGGAUACUAGCUGUUGGGGGCAACUUCAGUGGCUAAGCGAAAGUGAUAAGUAUCCACCUGGGGAGUACGUUCGCAAGAAUGAAACUCAAAGGAAUUGACGG